rnacentral:rRNA from 1 species
UACGGAGGGUGCGAGCGUUGUCCGGAAUCAUUGGGCGUAAAGGGCGCGUAGGUGGCCCGGUCAGUUCGUGGUGAAAGCGCGGGGCUCAACUCCGCGUCGGCCAUGAAUACUGCUGGGCUGGAGCACUGUAGAGGCAGGCGGAAUUCCGGGUGUAGCGGUGGAAUGCGUAGAGAUCCGGAAGAACACCCGUGGCGAAGGCGGCUCUCUGGGACGGUACUGACGCUGAGACGCGAAAGCGUGGGGAGCGAACAGG